UAAGUUGUUAACGGUAGCUUCAGCUUAGGGUUUUCUCUCAAGGUUUAACCCCACGUGUCUGAGUCUUCGUUUCUUCUAUUACGCUGUGCCUGGUUUACGAGAAAUCUACUUCAAGAAAUUAGUCUGCCCUAGAGAGAGAGAGAGGGAGAGAGAGAGAGCUGCUAAAUAAACAGGGCUUCGACAGUUGUAUUUUAGGUUCACAAUUCCCUUUUGUUUCCUUGGGAAUAGAAGGUGACCAUGUCUGAACAGUUACGAAGAAAUCCUUCUCAGCAUGGAAUUGCAAGAGAUGCAAUUAGCUUGUACAUGCCAGAAGAGCCUCAGUGCUCUGCACGUAAGUGGUACUUCAGUAUACAAGAAAUAGAACAUCAUUCUCCAUCUCGGAAGGAUGGCAUUGACCCUAAGAAGGAAGCACAGUUACGGAAGUUGUAUUGUUCAUUUCUUUGGGAACUUGGCAUGAAGCUUAAAGUGCCCCAGGUGGCAAUAGCAACUGCACUGAUGUUGUGCCAUCGCUUUUAUCUGCGUCAGUCUCUUGCAAAAAAUGAUUGGCAGAUAAUUGCAACUGUAAGCAUGUUUCUUGCUUGUAAAGCAGAGGAAACACCCCGCUUGCUAAGGGAUGUUAUUAUUAUGGCAUAUGAGAUGACUUAUAGGUGUGAUCCUCCUGCCCUGAAAAGAAUCAAGCAGAGAGAAGUUUUUGAUAAGCAGAAGGAAUUAAUAUUAAUUGGAGAGAGACUUCUACUGGGGACCAUUGCUUUUGAUCUCAACAUCGAACACCCCUACAAGCCAAUUGUUGAUGCUUUAAAGAGAAUGGGGAUUUCAAAUAAUGACCUUGUGAAAGCAGCACAGAAUUUAAUCAAUGACUGGCUUUGCACAACAUUGUGCUUGCAGUACAAACCUCAUUAUAUUGCAGCUGGUUCACUGUUUCUUGCUGCCAAAUUCCACAAAGUGAAACUUCCUACAGAAAAAGGAAAGGUUUGGUGGCUGCAGUUUGAUGUUGCACCUAAACAAUUAGAAGAGGUCAUUCAACAGAUGCGCAAGUUGUUGGAGAACAAAACACAGGCUCCAUCUCCUACACACGCUAGGAUGACUAAACCUACAGUUGUACUUGGAAACACAACGUCCCAUUACCCACAACCAUGCACUGCUCGGGAAUCCAGCCAUGGCAGUACUGUUGGGAAACCUUUGGUGUCCAAGGGCAGUCUGAAUGUGGCCUAUAGUGACAGUCACUGCAUUGUGAAAGAAGUGAUUCAACAUCAGACGAGUGGCACUAGUAGUGCAACUAGUGUUGUUGAGGAUGGGGAUGGCGAGAUUCAUUCAAGAACAAGAGAAUCUGAAAGGAACUCAAGUUACAAGUUUGUUUCCGUUCAUGGUAAAUACAGUAAGAUAAAUGCAAACCCAAAUAAAGAGAAGCCUUUGGAAAGGAGAUGUUCUACUGCUUCAAAGAGGUCAACAGUAGCCAGAGGUGAUGAGAUGUAUAGUGAAGUGUAUAUAGAUGGUGAUCUGCGGAAAGGAAGAGAGCAGGGAUAUGCCAAUUCACAUAAGAAACAGAGGAGGGUGUUGUUAGGCUUUUGAACUUGAACUUUAGUUUCAUGAUACUUGCAGAACAAAUUUCUGUCUCCUAUUCAUGUCAGAACAACUAUGGGUUGACAAAUGGAAUUCAUCAAAUUAGGCGUCAGGGCAGAGAGCAAGGAUUGGGCCUUUGAGGAUGGGUUGGGAUGGGAACAUCAUGUGUCGUGCCCAGGUUUUAUGGGGCAACAUAUAACAUAUUGUUCUUUAAUCUGUAAAAGAAUCUUGUCCUCUUUCAAUCAAAUCUUAUGUCCUCUUUUCACUACUAUAAAGUUGAUCACUGUAGAAAAGCCGGUCUUAUAUUUUUGAACUUUGGAGAUGGACCGACCGACACACACACACACAUACACACGCACACUCACACGCACAUUCCUGUUGUGAUGAUUCAGGAGUCUCCCUUUAUUUCACUUCCACAAAAAAUGGGCAGCACACCAGAGGGAAAGGGUCUUCAUAACAUCUCAUCCUUGUACCCCACAAACGUCCCUCUUGUUCUUCAUAACUACACCCACAGUUGCAACUCCCUUCCAAACAAAAGUUGGGUUGAUUAAAAGAUUUGGGCAAUUGUUGAAUCACACAUGUAAUGCAUGUAACCCUUUAUUCUCAGUAAAAGUAGUCUUUUUCCAAAGUCAUUCAAGGCGAUAACAUUGACUGAUAAUUUGG